rnacentral:rRNA from 1 species
GGACCCGCACAAGCGGUGGAGCAUGUGGUUUAAUUCGAUGCAACGCGAAAAACCUUACCUAUACUUGACAUACUUGGAAUGCUUUGUAAUGAAGCAGUGCCUUCGGGAGCCAGGAUACAGGUGCUGCAUGGCUGUCGUCAGCUCGUGUCGUGAGAUGUUCCGUUAAGUCGGAUAACGAGCGCAACCCUUACCCUUAUUUGCCAGCGAUUCGGUCGGGAACUAUAAGGGGACUGCCGGUGAUAAACCGGAGGAAGGUGAGGACGACGUCAAGUCAUCAUGGCCCUUACGAGUAGGGCUACACACGUGCUACAAUGGGGAAUACAGACGGACGCAAUACCGCGAGGUGGAGCA